ACACCCGUUCCCAUACCGAACACGGAAGUUAAGCUUCUCAGCGCCGAUGGUAGUUGGGACGCGAGUCCCUGUGAGAGUAGGACGUUGCCAGGC
rnacentral:rRNA from 1 species